GACGAACGCUGGCGGCGUGCUUAACACAUGCAAGUCGAGCGGAAAGGCCCUGCUUUUGUGGGGUGCUCGAGUGGCGAACGGGUGAGUAACACGUGAGUAACCUGCCCUUGACUUUGGGAUAACUUCAGGAAACUGGGGCUAAUACCGGAUAGGAGCUCCUGCUGCAUGGUGGGGGUUGGAAAGUUUCGGCGGUUGGGGAUGGACUCGCGGCUUAUCAGCUUGUUGGUGGGGUAGUGGCUCACCAAGGCUUUGACGGGUAGCCGGCCUGAGAGGGUGACCGGCCACAUUGGGACUGAGAUACGGCCCAGACUCCUACGGGAGGCAGCAGUGGGGAAUAUUGCACAAUGGGCGGAAGCCUGAUGCAGCAACGCCGCGUGCGGGAUGACGGCCUUCGGGUUGUAAACCGCUUUCGCCUGUGACGAAGCGUGAGUGACGGUAAUGGGUAAAGAAGCACCGGCUAACUACGUG
rnacentral:rRNA from 1 species